AAUGUUCCCAACCAUCUUUGUUCCCUAGUUCAAGACCACACACAGGGGACAGCUUAUGCCAUCUGAGGAGUCAGACUGGAACAGCUUGUAGUGCUUCUGGAUAUUUUAGUAAGAAAAGGCUACUCUGGGGACCAUUGGCCAGGUGCUCCCUCAAAACUUCACCUCCAAUUUUUAGCUGCAAAUUGUUCACGGUUUAAUCAGAGUUCUCCAACCAGAACUGACUGUUCCCAACUAGAAAGAAAAAUAGUUGCAGCCACACGAUGUCUUUAUACCAAGCACAACAAACUCUGAGGGCACUUCCCUGAUUUCUUUUUAAUCGUCUAUGGACUUCAUUGUUUUCACGUCUCAAGAAGCUCUCCAGCUGCCCUGGUAUGGAUUGUGCAACAAGUUCCUUUAAGGAACAAUUUGUAAACUUGCCCCUCACGUAAUCUGUUGUCUGAGGCCUGAUAUUUACCACAGGCCAUUUUUUAAUAAUUUAAAUAAAAAAUAUAACAAGGUUUCCAAUAAGGAUGUU